GGGGAUUUAGCUCAGUGGUAGAGCGCUUGCCUGGCAAGCACAAGGCCCUGGGUUCGGUUCCCAGCUCCA
rnacentral:tRNA from 1 species